UUUUGUUUUAUUUUUGUUACCAGGCAAUCAGUAUCAAGCCUUUUGGAAUGAUAUAUGCCAGCUGGGUUUUGUGCCUCAUCACACUGGCAGAGAGAAGAGUAUGAAGCCUGCUUGGAGAAGCGGAGGAAGCUGAAAAGGAGGCAAAGAGUGAGGACAGAGAGACAAGAUGGAAGUGGGGAAGGAAAACAAGGAUGAGAGAAUGCCAGGUGGUGCUGAGAAGGAAAGGAGAGACUUUUCUGCUUGUAGAGGGCACACGAUGGCAGAAUCCACUUCUGCAGGGGCAUCUGGCUCCAGAAAUAAUAGGCCGCGUGGCACCCACUCCUUCAAAACGGGUUCAGGAGCAAAGCAAAGCAGAAUGAUUCUUCGAUAUGAAAUAAAUAUCUUCAGCUGGCCUAAGCUGAAGGCAGGAACUUUAAUCAGCACAAGGUCAGAUAAGCCAGAGACAGGUGUGCUGGGGCAGAGAAAAGAUUGCAAAUGACUGAUCUAUGUCACAAGAACAAUUCACUAGACAGCCCUAGUUGCCUAAGGCAAGGAGUGGUAACAGUUGUGGGAAACACCUUGCCUAUUUCAGAAGAAUGAAGGUAAAGAUUUUCAUUCCACAGUUUAUAAUGCUUUUUUUCUGGAAAAUGACAUGUUAUUCCUGUGUGUUUGUCAUGUAGAUGACUCUAGUAUUUGGCCAGAGAUCCAGGGUUGAAAAUCCUUGAGUUCUGUGCAGCUGCUGCCACUUCCUGUGAUGAUUCCUAGAGAAAUAUAGAGAUACAAGUAAUGCAGAGCAUGUUCUAUAGUUCUUUUUUUUUCUUUUUAUUUUAUUUUAUUUUAUUUUUUUUUAUUGCAUUUUAGGUUUUGGGGUACAUGUGAAAAACAUGCAAGUUGUUGCAUAGGUACACACGUGGCAGUGUGAUUUGCUGCCUUCCU
rnacentral:lncRNA from 1 species